rnacentral:rRNA from 1 species
GAUGAACGCUGGCGGCGUGCCUAAUACAUGCAAGUCGAGCGAACGGACGAGAAGCUUGCUUCUCUGAUGUUAGCGGCGGACGGGUGAGUAACACGUGGAUAACCUACCUAUAAGACUGGGAUAACUUCGGGAAACCGGAGCUAAUACCGGAUAAUAUUUUGAACCGCAUGGUUCAAAAGUGAAAGACGGUCUUGCUGUCACUUAUAGAUGGAUCCGCGCUGCAUUAGCUAGUUGGUAAGGUAACGGCUUACCAAGGCAACGAUGCAUAGCCGACCUGAGAGGGUGAUCGGCCACACUGGAACUGAGACACGGUCCAGACUCCUACGGGAGGCAGCAGUAGGGAAUCUUCCGCAAUGGGCGAAAGCCUGACGGAGCAACGCCGCGUGAGUGAUGAAGGUCUUCGGAUCGUAAAACUCUGUUAUUAGGGAAGAACAUAUGUGUAAGUAACUGUGCACAUCUUGACGGUACCUACUCAGAAAGCCACGGCUAACUACGUG